rnacentral:lncRNA from 1 species
GUUUUUCCUUUCCAGACUCUCUCACUCUCUCGUUCCCUCACUCUCGUUUUUCCUUUCCAGACUCUCUCACUCUCUCGUUCCCUCACUCCACCCGUUCCAGAUCUUUCACUCCCCUCACUCCACUCGUUCCAGAUCUUUCACUCUUUCAUUCCAGUUAGUAACUCUUAGUUUCACACACUCUCCGUUAAAUCACUCUUAGUUAGGAUUUUUUAAUUAGGGUUUCUGAAUCUAAGGUUUUUAAUUUAGGGUUUAUGAUGAUUGUUGUUGUUACAGGUGAUUAAAGGCUUUGGACCAGU